GACGAACGCUGGCGGCGUGCUUAACACAUGCAAGUCGAACGGAAAGGCCCUGCUUUUGUGGGGUGCUCGAGUGGCGAACGGGUGAGUAACACGUGAGUAACCUGCCCUUGACUUUGGGAUAACUUCAGGAAACUGGGGCUAAUACCGGAUAGGGGCUCCUGCUGCAUGGUGGGGGUUGGAAAGUUUCGGCGGUUGGGGAUGGACUCGCGGCUUAUCAGCUUGUUGGUGGGGUAGUGGCUUACCAAGGCUUUGACGGGUAGCCGGCCUGAGAGGGUGACCGGCCACAUUGGGACUGAGAUACGGCCCAGACUCCUACGGGAGGCAGCAGUGGGGAAUAUUGCACAAUGGGCGGAAGCCUGAUGCAGCAGCGCCGCGUGCGGGAUGACGGCCUUCGGGUUGUAAACCGCUUUCGCCUGUGACGAAGCGUGAGUGACGGUAAUGGGUAAAGAAGCACCGGCUAACUACGUG
rnacentral:rRNA from 1 species